rnacentral:misc_RNA from 2 species
GAAAUGCGAUAAGUAAUGUGAAUUGCAGAAUUCCGUGAAUCAUCGAAUCUUUGAACGCACAUUGCGCCCCCUGGCAUUCCGGGGGGCAUGCCUGUCCGAGCGUCAUUGCUAACCCUCCAGCCCGGCUGGUGUGUUGGGCCGCCGUCCCCCCUCCCCGGGGGACGGGCCCGAAAGGCAGCGGCGGCGUCGCGUCCGGUCCUCGAGCGUAUGGGGCUCUGUCACACGCUUCAGUAGAACCGGCCGGCUUGCUGGCCAUCACCUAUAUUUUUCUCUUAGGUUGACCUCGGAUCAGGUAGGGAUACCCGCUGAACUUAA